UCCCGUUGAUCCUGCGGGAGGUUGCUGCUAUGAGGGUUCGACUAAGCCAUGCAAGUCUGAUAGCAAUAUCGGCAGAACGCUCAGUAACACGUCGUUAACCUUACCUAUGGUCAUCGAUAACCUCGGGAAACUGAGGGUAAACGAUGAUAAAAGAAUUCUUCUGGAAUGAUGUUUCUUUGAAACUCGUGCCAUAGGAUGGGGCGGCGGUCGAUUAGGUAGUUGGUGGUGUAAUGGACCACCAAGCCGACGAUCGAUACGGGCCUUGAGAGAGGUAGCCCGGAGAGGGACACUGAGAAACUGGUCCCAGCCCUACGGGGUGCAGCAGGCGCGAAACCUUUACAAUGCACGCAAGUGUGAUAAGGGAACCCUCAGUGCUCAUGUAUAACAUGGGCUUUUGCCAAGCGUAAAUAGUUUGGCGAAUAAGUGGUGGGUAAGACUGGUGCCAGCCGCCGCGGUAACACCAGCGCCACGAGUGGCAACCACGUUUAUUGGGCCUAAAGCGUCCGUAGUCGGUUUAGUAAAUCUCUUGUGAAAUCGUCGGGCUUAACCCGACGGCAUGCUCGAGACACUGCUUUACUUGAGACCGGGAGGAGUGAGAGGUAUUCCUGAGGGAGCGGUAAAAUGUGAUAAUCUCAGGAGGAUCACCUAUGGCGAAGGCAUCUCACCAGAACGGAUCUGACGAUCAGGGACGAAGGCUAGGGGAGCGAUCCGGAUUAGAUACCCGAGUAGUCCUAGCAGUAAACGCUGCGAGCAAGAUGUUGCACUUCUUAAGAGGAUGUGCAGUGUCGAAGAGAAGUCAUUAAGCUCGCCGCCUGGGAAGUACGGUCGCAAGACUGAAACUUUAAGGAAUUGGCGGGGGAGCACCACCAGGGGUGCGGCGUGCGUUUAAUCUAACUCCACACAGAGAACCUUACUAGAAGCGACGGCAGGAAGACGGUCAACCUGAAGGGUUUACCUGACGAGCCGAGAGGUAGUGCAUGGCCGCCGUCAGCUCGUGCCGUAAGGUGUCCAGUUAAGUCUGGCAACGAGCGAGACCUAUACUUACUAUUGCUAGCAGCUACUUCGGUAGGACUGAGCACUUUGUAAGGACUGCCUUGGAAACAAGGAGGAAGGUGUAGGCAACGGUGGUCUGUAUGCUCCGAAUCUUCUAGGCUACACGCGCGCAACAAUGGUAAUGACAAUGGGCUGCAACUCCGAAAGGAGAAGCUAAUCCUCCAAACAUUACCUCAGUUCGGAUCGCGGGUUGUAACUCACCCGCGUGACGCCGGAAUCCCUAGUAACCAGAGUUCAUCAAAUUCUGGUGAAUAUGUCCCUGCUCCUUGCACACACCGCCCGUCAAAUCAACCGAGCAGGACUUUGGUAAAAUCCAUUUUUUUGAAUAGAUUGAACCUAAGUUCAGUGAGGCGGAUUAAGUCGUCACAAGGUA
rnacentral:rRNA from 1 species